GCAAAAUCAUUUCGGUGCCUUGCCCAACAAUUUGGAUUUAAACUCUUAAGAUGGUGCAUACAGACGAAACAGAAGUUUAUUCAAUCAGAAAGGGAUACUUCUCUGAGAGAUGUAAGAGCAAGUUCUGGAAUCUGAGAGGGUUGGGAACAGUAAUAAAGUGUUAAGUUAUGAUUAAUUGGCGUGAACCAUCAGAUUUGGCGCAUAAAAUGAAUGUUUU
rnacentral:sRNA from 1 species